UUUCAAAGAUACUACAAGAAAGUCAACUUUUGUUAAGCUAUCUGGAACAAGCAACCAAGAUCUCUCAAAAAGCGGUCCUGUUCAGAUGGCAAAAGAGAAGCUUUGUGGACUUCUUAAAGCUACAUACUUCGGAAGGAAAGCUGAAUGCUGUAGAGGUACUUACAGAUUAGAGAUAAGAAGCAAGAAUAAUGAAAUUUCUUUGCCCUAAAUAUGUUCCCUAAAAUUUGUCUAAAGUCCUAUAAAUCACUGAACUUCUCUCUAAACCAAAUGUAUAGUCACCUUUAUUUCAGUUUUGUUUUUUGUUUUUUUUCCAGCUGUAGGGGAUCAACUAUGGCCAGGUCUCAAGAGAAAAGAUCUGACAUGUGAGUGCUUGAGGUGUCCUUCAAAAUGAAAGUAAAAGGUAAUAUAAGUAUUUUUCAAUAAGAAAGAUGCUAGUAAUUUUUUCUUUU
rnacentral:lncRNA from 1 species